UGAGUAGGCGGUUUAAUAAGUCAUGUGUGAAACCCCGGUGCUCAACAUCGGACCUGCACAAGAAACUGUUAGACUUGAGUACAGGAGAGGUAAGCGGAAUUCCUAGUGUAGCGGUGAAAUGCGUAGAUAUUAGGAAGAACACCAGUGGCGAAGGCGGCUUACUGGACUGAAACUGACGCUGAGUCACGAAAGCGUGGGGAGCAAACAGGAUUAGAUACCCUGGUAGUCCACGCUGUAAACGAUGAGUGCUAGGUGUCGGGUCGAGAGAUUCGGUGCCGCAGCUAACGCAAUAAGCACUCCACCUGGGGAGUACGUACGCAAGUAUGAA
rnacentral:rRNA from 1 species